rnacentral:lncRNA from 1 species
UUUCCUUCUUGCUUAUCUCCUUCAAGCUGCUGGGACUGGGGUAGUCCCCAGGAUGCUGCCUCACUGGCUCCCCCAGCCCCAAACGCCCCACUUCCACAUCCAGAACGUUGUGGGCACUUUCACUUUGCCCUCUUCCCUCCGUGUAGUUCAUCCUUAGUCUGAGAGUCAGUGGCUCAGAUGGUCCUGUUAGACUUCCAGAGGCUUCUGUACCAACCCGGCCUACAAGCAGGAGCAGCAGGGCAGACCCCCUCACUGUACCCUCAGCAUGACACAGAUGCCACCAUCAAGAAGUGAGAGCUUCCAGCCUGUGGGCAGCCAGCAUCCUUUCAACUCACCCACCAUUACCAUUAGACUUGAAGAAUUCUGGAGAUGUUUGAAUACCAUCCACAUCCCGACUGCAUUGAAGGACUCACCUGUCAGAACUCACAUUUCCACUCCACCCUUGGAGAUUUCCGCAACCACAAAGAUGUUCCGUGGAACAUGGAUGGAACCUCGAAUGUGGAACAAAGAUGCUCCUAGUAACUACUACGGCCAUAAUGACCUGCUUUACGGCAGACAUCAUGUUGGCGUGGGAUACAAAGACCAACAAGAUGGCGCUGCUCCCAGAUGA